ensembl:snoRNA
ACUUUGUGCGUGUGUAUUUGUUCAACUGGUAGACAAAGGCAUGAAAGACAAGGGCAAAAAUAAUCCUCUUUUGCAACCCAGAACUCAUUGUUCUGUGUGACUUUUGAUACACACAGGCAGGAAUAUG